AACCGGAUUAGAUACCCGGGUAGUCCACGCUGUAAACGAUGAAUACUGGGUCUUCGGGGAAUCGACCCCUUGUGGACCGAAGCUAACGCGUUAAGUAUUCCGCCUGGGGAGUACGGUCGCAAGACUAAAACUCAAAGGAAUUGACGGGGGCCCGCACAAGCAGCGGAGCGUGUGGUUUAAUUCGAUGGUAAACGAAGAACCUUACCUAGGUUUGACAUAUAAGUGGUAGCGAUCCGAAAGGUGAACCACCCGCAAGGGAGCUUAUACAGGUGCUGCAUGGUUGUCGUCAGCUCGUGCCGUGAGGUGUUGGGUUAAGUCCCGCAACGAGCGCAACCCUCGUGGAUAGUUGUUUUCUUUAUCCAGACUGCUUUUAAAGAGGAAGGUGGGGACGACGUCAAAUCAUCAUGGCUCUUACACCUAGGGCUACACACACGCUACAAUGGAUAGUACAGACGGUUGCCAAGUCGCGAGAUGGAGCCAAUCCGAAAAAGCUAUCCCCAAUUGGAAUUGUAGGCUGAAACUCGCCUGCAUGAACGUGGAGUUGCUAGUAACCGCAGGUCAGAAUACUGCGGUGAAUACGUUCCCGGGCCUUGUACACACCGCCCGUCACGUCAUGGAAGUUUGAAACACUUGAAGUCGUUGGGCUUACCCUUAUGGGACGCAGACGCCGAGAGUGGGGCAAAUGACUGGGACGAAGUCGUAACAAGGUAGCUGUACCGGAAGGUGCGGCUG
rnacentral:rRNA from 1 species